GACGAACGCUGGCGGCGUGCUUAACACAUGCAAGUCGAGCGACGCUCUUCCUUCGGGGAGAUGACGGAGCGGCGAACGGGUGAGUAACACGUGGGCAACCUGCCCCUAGCUCUGGGACAACACCGGGAAACCGGUGCUAAUACCGGAUACGACAUCGAGCGGCAUCUCUCGAUGUGGAAAGUUUUUUCGGCUAGGGAUGGGCCCGCGGCCUAUCAGCUUGUUGGUGGGGUAAUGGCCCACCAAGGCGACGACGGGUAGCCGGCCUGAGAGGGCGACCGGCCUCACUGGGACUGAGACACGGCCCAGACUCCUACGGGAGGCAGCAGUGGGGAAUAUUGCGCAAUGGGCGAAAGCCUGACGCAGCGACGCCGCGUGAGGGAUGACGGCCUUCGGGUUGUAAACCUCUUUCAGCAGGGACGAAUUCAGACGGUACCUGCAGAAGAAGCACCGGCCAACUACGUG
rnacentral:rRNA from 1 species